AGGGUGGCAGGAAGAAAAGAGAGAAAAGAAGGCCCCUACUACAUGCCACUGCUGCUGGGAUUUUCCAUACUGAGAAUUCCAAUUCAAAGUGAAAAUCCCAGUGCCACCUGGGAGGGAACCAGUCUCCAUUAUUCAUGCAGGCCAUUAUUUGUAGAUGGCUCUUCCCUGAGGGCAAGGAGCCCACACAUGCCCCUAUUCUGGUUCCGAUUCCCCCAGCUCUGGAUUCAUCUCCCACUAUAGCAUCCAUCACACUGCUUUGCUUGUUUGUCCCUACACUGGGCUGUGACCUCUACAAGGCCAAUGGCUGUUUUUCCAUCUCUGUGUACCCUGGGGCCUAGAACACCCGCCUCUGCACAGUGGAUGAUCAAUCUCUGUUGUGGAAUUAAAUGUCAUGCCAGGGCUAGAAGGGACCUUAGAGAUAAUCCAGUCCCCAUAUAGGAAACAGAGGCCCAGACAGGCGAAGCAGCCCCCCCAAUAGAAAGAGAGCUGGUGGUAACUGGCAGGGGGAAGAGAGAAAGAAAUCAAAGAUGUCAGCAGUGCUUGAGGAAUUAGGAGGGCGAGGGCCUUGAUGGAACCUGGAAAGGAUGACAAUUUGCAGGAAAACGAAGUUUGGUUUUGGACCGCUUCUAAAACAGGUCUUUUUUUUUUUUUUUUUUGUCUUUUUUUUGCUAUUUCUGGGGCCGCUUCUGUGGCAUAUGGAGGUUCCCAGGCUAGGGGUAUAAUCGGAGCUGUGGCCGCCAGCCUACGCCAGAGCCACAGCAACGCAGGAUCCGAGCCGCUUCUGCAACCUACACCACAGCUCACGGCAACGCCGGAUCGUUAACCCACUGCGCAAGGGCAGGGACCGAACCCGCAACCUCUUGGGUCCUAGUCGGAUUUGUUAACCACUGCGCCACGACGGGAACUCCUAAAACAGAAAAUAUAAAAAGGAAAUUAACAUUUAUUGAAUAGUUACCAUGUGUAGGUGGGUAACAGUCCUCCCUAGUCUUCUGUAAGUUUCACACUCAAGGAUAAUCAAUUAAAUAAACAAGAAUGUGCCUUGGGUCAAAACAGUUAGUAAUCCCAGGUCUGAAUGCAUUAAAAGCCCCCUGUGCUUUCUCCUGCAUCCCACUGUCUCUCUGACCCCAGUGCAGAGGCUACAGGGUACCAGGGAAGAGCCAGCUGGACACAGUGAGUUCACAGGUGGGCUUGGCCAUGUCCCAGGACAACAGGCAGCUGCUCCAGAGGCUGAAUGUUAGGUUUGCAGGCUCCCAUGCUCUGAAAGGGCAGAGAGUGGGCACCAUCCCUCGCUAGCACUUGGCUGACAGGCUAGACCCACUGCCCUUGACUUAGUUAGGAUACCGCUGGUGACUGUAAAAGCAAUAAGGGCAGCUGGGAGCCAAAUGCAAGGAAGGCAGUCAUCAUAAGCAGUCCUUCAUUUCAUCACUCAACACUGUAUGCCGAGCCUCUGCCCAGGACCUGGCCUCUUCUCAGCUCUGGAUUGAAGCUGAGAAGCUCACAGUCAAGUGGGGCGGUUUACAUGGAAACACCCCACAACCACAGUCUGGGGAAUGUUAUCUAGGAGGGCUGACAGGGUGGGGGAGCGGGGCUCCCCUAGCCUGGCAGAGACUUCCCAGACAAAGCAGGACCUUUUGAUAUGGGGAUAUUUCCAAGCAGCUACAUCAAACAAGACUUGUCAAAAGGGGACAUCGCUGUUCUUUAAACUCAGCAAGCAAAAUGAGAAGCAGAAAUCUCUGAACUGCUCCGCCACCCCUGACCUCAGGGCUCCAGGCAGUGCCGUGGAGUAUCUGCUUGACUAGAUAUUAAGGUCCCUUUCAAAUCUGAGGUUCUUUCAGGUCAGGUCUGGUAGGGUGACCAGGAAGGGGGCAAUCUGGGGCCCUGGUGGGAACACAACUGAGGGCACUUUUGUGUAGACUGCUCUGCCUGCCUUUCCCCUUAAGGUUCAGUUCAAAUGCCGGUCCCUCCUAGAACCCUUCCUGGAUCUUGCCCGAGUCUCAGUCUCACCUGAGUCUCUGUAACAUGCAGCACUCUGCCCCGUACUGACUUGCCGCAGGCCGGGCAGGGACUGUCUGAUUCAUGUGUCCCCUCCCUCCUCCCCACCUGCUCCUGCCCUCAUCCCUGCACAGGCCUUUUCUUAGCAAAGCAUAUUGAACUGAGUGGGACAGCAGUCCAGGAGGAUGCUCUGGGCAGGUGUGAGCUGGUAAUGCUGGAGCAGCAGUGAGUGACAGCCACGAGCAGAGUCUGGAGCUGUUUGGUGCCAGAUCCUCUCAGGCCACUCUCUUCCCUCUGCUUCCUCUCAGCUCCACCACCUGCUUCGCCAGGCCCAACACUCCAGCUUGCCCUAGGCUUGCCUCUCUGGCUCUCUGGAAUGUCAAGUGCAAACAAAGUGGUGUGCACACUUUUUGGAGAAAAGCAUCUUUUAUUAUGCAUCACAGUUGGAGAGCCCAUUAGCCAGCAGCAGAUGGAAGACCCCACUUAAAGGACCGUGGACCUUCAGCUGGCUGAAGGGCAAUAAGAUCGCCCUACAACAUCAUUUCAGGGCUGCAAAAGCAUUUCCUGAUCUUUUACAGAAAGAGACGUGUACUUGGGCAGUGAAAAUAGAAUUCCCCUCUAGUUCAAUGAGCCAAUCUCAGACUAAAUUAGAGGACAAUGCAAGGACAUUAAGUCUUUCUCUAUGUGUCCCUUCCCUACCCAGAGCACGUUCACUGUGGGAUCUCCCCUAAGUCUAAGAACUGAUAAUGAAUAUUUUAAUAGGCACAGCUUCUUCUCAUUGAUAAAAACUCCACUGACUAGCCAGAGCACACUGGUGAAGAUGAGGGGGUGGACCAGUGUUCCUGGGCAGCCUCAUCCCUGAGCCCCUCCCAAAUCUGUGGGACAGGGACCAUUAGAGCGACCUCUGCACCCUCAGAGCAGCAGCCACAAUGCUGGAGGAAGGAAAAGACAUGAAUCAUGCGGCAUGAAGACUGAGGCUGACCCUCGAGAGCUAGGUCCAUAUAUAAUUGAAAGAGACAGUCGUGUAAGUAGACAAAGCAGAGAGCCAAAGGCUAAAGGGGAGCCCCCUAAAAAAUAUCCCCACAUCCUGGAGUUCCUGCUGUGGCACAGCGGGUUAAGCAUCCUACUGCAGUGGCUCAGAUUGCUGUGGAGGCGCGGGUUUGAUCCCUGGCCUGGUGCAGUUCCAGCGUUAUUGCAGCUGUGGUGUAGGUUUGCAGCUGCGACUCAGAUUCGAUCCCUGGCCUAGGAACUUCCAUAUGCCAUGGGUGUGGCCAUAACAUUAAAAAAUACAUAUAUAUUUUUCACAUCCUCAUCCCAGGAACCUAGAAAUGUUACCAAUUUGGGAAAAGGGUCUUUGCAGAUGUAAUUAAGUUAAAGAUCUUGUCCUGGAUUAUCCAGGUAAGCCUUAAAUCUAAUGAUGGGUGUCCUUAUAAGAGUGAGGCAGAGGAAGAUGUGACAGACAGAAGAGAAGGAGGCAGUGUGACUGAGGAAGCAGAGGUGAGAGGGAUGUGGCCACAAGUCAAGAAAUGCCAGCAGCCACCAGAAGCUGCAAGAGGCAAAGAAAGGGUUCUUCCCUGGAGAGCGUGUGGCCCUGCCAACACCUUGAUUUCAGACUUCUGGUCUCCAGAACUGGGAGAGAAUAGAUUUCUGGUGUUUCAAGCCAAGGUUGUGGUGAGUUGUUAUAGCAGCCACAGAAAAAGAACACAGCACCUUAGAAGCAAUGGGAGGGAUGAGGGAGCUGAGUCCCAGAGAAGGGGCUGAUCCAUCCAGAGCCACUCCGAGUUAGCUGCUGGUCCAGGAUACUCCUCCAGGGCCCCUAGGUCUCUGUGACAUCAACAUGGGUGCAGUUCCUCAGUGGCUCAGUGUCAAGCCCAGAAGGGGGAGCUGACAGCAAGCUCCAGGGGACCCACAGGGAGCCUAAGGGGGCUGCAGGCCAUGCUGCUAUAAGGACAGACUCUGAAGUGAGGCUGCUGAAGUCUGGCUCCCCUCAGGGCCACUCAGACCCCCACCUGCACAGCUGUGUCCACUUCUCGGCUCUGGCCUUUCCAGGGGACUGGAUAAAUUGGGGGCAUUCUGACUGAAGAAGUGAAGACUUGGACACCGGAUCCCUGUCUCUGAGUGUCCAAAUUGCUUACAUGGCUGUCAUGGAGAAGACAAGGAUUUUUGCGUGGGGCUUCAAAGGACACAAUCAAGGCUGAUGGGGCAAACGCUGUCUGGGGGAGGAGUUUGGCUGAACAAAAUGAAGAACUUUCUAAUAAUCCGAGGCAACUGACAAUGGACUGGGAAUGCCUCAGGGACAGGCAGGUCUGAGCACAUAGGCUGGGUGUGUUAGGGAAAUUCCUGCAGCAGACAAAGGCCGCCCUUGAUCGUCUCUGGUGUUGGCAAUUUCGUCUGAAGGUCUAUGCCUGUUGGCUAAAACAUCCUGUGUGAAUCUAGGUUUUCGGCUUACAGACGGGGAAUGCUCUCACUAAAACUUAUUACCCAGCUUUUGUGAAGAGCAAAGUAUUGCAACGACCCACGAAUGAGUUCUGAAAAAAAAGUAAUCAAUUCUUCCUGUUCCUAUAUUCAAAAUGGGCCUCACCCCCAGGGAGGAAGAGGAAAAGCAUAUACCUCUGUACUGACAUCACCCCCUAGGCUGACCAGGAGCCAAGAGCACAUGCACCAGAACCAGGGGAGCCCUGGACGGCCUGGGCUUGAUGCUUUUCUCCAGGGAAAACCAGAGAGAACACAGACUCCAGCAACCAAUGGAAUUAUUUUCAUAAGAACAAAUAAAUGGCCCACUCAUCUUUAUUUUAAUAAUUGCUCUUCCUUUGGCCUCCUUCUGAAUUCUACACACAGACAAAGUAAACAACAAAGCAGUAACUUAGAAGCUUAACCAUGUUGCUGUUCACAAGUUAGCCCGGGAGAAGUUUUUCAGGGCAGGGGCAGCAGUUGGUAUCAUCAUCGCUGGCUGUAAAAGACUCUUGCCUGCACCCUUCGUCUGGAUACUUAGUCAUUUCACAUCUGCCUGCACAUCUGUCUUCUCUUAAGUCAAUAUCUCAGAGAACUAAGCGCUGUUGCAUCCGGAUGAAUUCCUCUGAAGCUCUUUCCAUCCAGGAUUUUGAAAGUUUGCCAUGUUAGCCUUUUACUGAAACAGCUGAGCUUCUCAACUCAUUCCUCAAGAGAGGUCAAAAGAACACACUUUCAUACUUUUAGAUUUACCACCAUCCCUUUUCUAGCCUGUAAUUAAAGGUUUUCUCUCUUUUUUGCCAGAGAACCAGCGUUAAGCACACGCAUCAGUCAGCAGCCAGAUUGUGACAUGAAUGGAAGACAACCAUUUCUAACCACUGGCAAAAAGGUUUUCAAGUAUCUGCUGGGUCCCUAAAAAUACUGCUUCACUUUAGUGAACAUGACGGCUCCUGUCCUCACAUCAACUGGCCAAGCACCAGUCAAACUUCCCAUUGUCCUUCAGGUGGAUAGUGGAAAUUUGUCUUGUCUUUUUGCCAUUUCUUGGGCUGCUCCCGCAGUAUAUGGAGGUUCCCAGGCUAGGGGUCGAAUGGGAGCUGUAGCCA
ensembl:lncRNA